UCCUCGUUAGUAUAGUGGUGAGUAUCCCCGCCUGUCACGCGGGAGACCGGGGCUCAAUUCCCCGACGGGGAG